UAUCAUGCUAAAUAAGUGUUAGUCUAUCCUUCUCCCCUCUAUGCAAAUCCCUAAAUUCUCUCAUUUCUCCUUCUCUCUGUCAUUCUCUUCGCGGUUUGAGACAUAGCGAUUGUAGCAGAGUUCACCGACAAUUUCUUCGCACUCAGCCCAAUCGCCGGAUUCGUCGGAUUUGUCGUUGGUCUUCGUACAACAGGUCACAGUCAUCGCGUUUUCACCGCUCCGGCAUCCAUCGUUGUCAUCGUCAAAGGUCGCAGUUGUGCCCUCAGCUCCGAUCCGUCGUCAUUGUUUGCAGGUCUAAGGAAAUUCUUAAGAAAGUAUCUGGAUUAACCAAAAAAUCUGUUCAAAGGACACAAAAAUCUGCAAAAUCAGAAGAGGAGAUGAUGAAAUCUGAGGCCAUUGUUCAAUCGGUCUCGAGCAGUUCUUAGCAGGUAACAUAAAUUCAGGGAAGUAAGAGAAUUCUUCCUGCAAAGCCUUCCGUAAACAUUGAAGCUAGUCCUUUGGAACUUGACACAAAAGAGUCAGAUGCUAAUCCAAAUUCUUCUUUGGCUACUGCAGAGAUGCUUAUGAAUGAGAGGAAAAACAGAGGCUGCUCUUUGGCUUAAGAAUUGGAGUGGGGGCCCUGGAGUUUUCAAUAAAACAAAUUUAGACAUCCCUUUACAGAUUUAUGCACUGAAAUAAAAUGGCUUUGGGAAUAUACAUGAAAGAUGGAUAGUGCUGAUUAGCCUGAUUUGUAGCUGAUUCAGCGGUCGCGAAAAGAACUUUACGUGGCAAAGUUUCAGAAUUUCAACGAGCAUUGCUACAGAGUAGAUUAUUUGUAGUAAUUGUAGGCUGCACUUGGAGAGACACAUAAAUAUGCUGUUCAAAAGUCCUUGUCUGCAUUUAAUGCUACAGUUGUUGGGGCUGGACCAAUCAGGCAAAAAUACGAGAAACGCCUUCUAAGUUUUGUUUAAAAGGCAUUUGAGAAAUGGGCUGUUGAUUUGAAUCAGUAUGCAUGUGAAAGCUUGAGGUUAAAUCAUUUUUUUUUCUUGAAGAGUUGUUGAAUUAUCAGUCAGCUAAAAAUAUUAUGUCUGGUCAUGUGAAAGUGGCAUUCGAUGUGUGUUAUAUUGUAUUUGAAAUGCCAUAGAUCGGAUCAAAUUGAAUUCAAGUUGUUGGUUUUAGUUUUGUUAAUAAGUGAAGUAGUUUCUGUUAAAAUUCAUGUUGGGAAAGGAUUUGGAUUUAUGCAAUUUGCUAUUAGGUGUUGUGUCUUACCACUUUCAGAAAAGGUGUUGGAUUUGUGAAUUUGCUAUGAAGCAAUCAACAAUCUUCACAAGGGAGUGGAAAGCAAAAUUCAUCCUCUAGUCAUCAUGUUAAUGGACAAUCUUCUACAUGAUAUGCAACUAAUAUAAAGAUUUUUGAAGAAAUAUAAUUAAAUGAUAAUUAUAAAAAUAUAAUAAUGUAAAGAAAUCUAUCACCCUUCCGGUCUCUAGAGCCACAUACACAGAAACACAGAGAUGAGGGAUUUGUAUGCUAUGGAUUUUGAUGGGGUUCUCUGUGACAGCUACAGAGAAAGCUCUCUAUCUGUUGUUAAGGUUGCUAAAGUGAGAUGGCUCAGUCUUUUCAAGACUGUGGAUUCUGCAUUGGAAGAUUGGAUUGUUGAUCAGAUGUACACUGUCAGGCCAGUGGUAGAAACCGGCUAUGAAAAUUUAUUGCUAGUGAGGCUGCUUUUGGAAAUGAGACUUUCUUCCAUUCGCAAGUCUUCAGUCGGUUUUAUCCUGGAGUCGCUGAUGCCCUGAAGUUUGCAAGCUCAAAGGUGUACAUUGUGACCACAAAACAGACCCGCUUUGCAGACGCAUUUUUCGGGAGCUUGUUGGAGGUAACAAGGGUCUGUAUGAUUUUUUCAUCAUAAGUAUCUAUGGUAUUGGUACAUGACUGGAAGCAAAAGUGCGAAAACAGCUUCAAGAAAUGCCAGAACACCAGGGAAGGUGAUAGGGACAAAUUUAGAUCUCAAGUGAACCUUAUGUUAUUUUGACUAUUGGACAAAUUUAAUGUUGUUGUUUGUUUUUCUCUGAAGCUUCUACAGUUCUACUAUAUAAAGAUUCUUUGUUUUUGUUACAAUUAUUUGACAAAUAUUAGUUAUAAUUGAUUUUCUUUUCAAU